ncrna:Pristionchus pacificus microRNA ppc-mir-8338 precursor (ppc-mir-8338-1)
AUCUGCCACUACUAACCGUGUCGUACUCACUACUACACGACACGGUUAGUAGUGGCAGAUG